UCCCUCUCUCUCUCUCCUCAUUAGAGCGAGCCACCACCGUCUACCACCACCCAGAAGCUGCCUCCAUGAACCUCCGACCGCCUACUCUCAAAACAGUACCACUCUUGUGCCGCCUCACACGCAACCCAUCUUCCUCCUUGUCUCGUGCUUCUCUGUUUCACGAGACCAAAUUGGUCUUGAAACCAAUUCCCCCAAUUGGAGUAAUAUAGUAUACUGUACCUAAUAUCCAAAAGUCAACCUUUGCUUCCUUUUAACCACCAAAUAAAAUGAUGCUGAGCUCGGGAGAUACGGUACAUUGAACAGGAAGUACAAACUACGGUUGAGGUACGAAGAAGAUCGUGGGAUGCCUUAGAGUGAGGAUGCAACCAUCAAAUUCACGAUCGAUGUUUAAUAAAGAUAACCAUGUCAUUAGUAAUGAAGGGAUAUAUUAAUUAAACUCUAAGUUUGAUUUCACGAUUUGAGUUAGAUUUUUAAAUUAACGUUAAACAUGUUAGAAAUAUUUAUUAAGGUUUACUUAGAUUUCAAUGAAAUUUUUUAAAGAAUUAAUCGAAGUGAAGUAUAGUUACUGUUACUCAACAGUAGUCAGUAAAUGUAAAAGGUUAUGUCGCCUUGUAUUUCCCACGAGGGAGAUACGGCAAGUGACGCUCCGACUAAAUUAGGGUUUCCGCUGCUAAUUAAAGAUAAUUAACCUAAUUAAUGGUGUUUGGAAGUCGGGGCG